rnacentral:tRNA from 1 species
GUCAGUGUGGCACAGGGAGUUUGAGUGUUGGACUAUGACUCUGGAGACCAGGGUUCGAUUCCCCGCUUGGCCA